rnacentral:rRNA from 1 species
UACAGAGGUCCCAAGCGUUGUUCGGAUUCAUUGGGCGUAAAGGGUGCGUAGGCGGCGCGGUAAGUCGGGUGUGAAAUCUCGGGGCUUAACUCCGAAACUGCAUUCGAUACUGCCGUGCUUGAGGACUGGAGAGGAGACUGGAAUUUACGGUGUAGCGGUGAAAUGCGUAGAUAUCAGGAGGAACACCUGCGGUGUAGACAGCUUACUGGACCACUUCUGACGCUGAGACACGAAAGCGUGGGUAGCAAACAGG